rnacentral:rRNA from 1 species
GACGUAGGGCGCGAGCGUUGUCCGGAUUUAUUGGGCGUAAAGAGCUCGUAGGUGGCUUGUCACGUCGGGUGUGAAAGCUUGGGGCUUAACUCCAGGUCUGCAUUCGAUACGGGCUGGCUAGAGGUAGGUAGGGGAGAACGGAAUUCCUGGUGUAGCGGUGAAAUGCGCAGAUAUCAGGAGGAACACCGGUGGCGAAGGCGGUUCUCUGGGCCGGAACUGACGCUGAGGAGCGAAAGCGUGGGGAGCAAACAGG